CCUACGGGUGGCAGCAGUGAGGAAUAUUGGUCAAUGGACGCGAGUCUGAACCAGCCAAGCCGCGUGCGGGAGGACGGCUCUAUGUGUUGUAAACCUCUUUUGUAAGGGGGUAAACGCAGAGACGCGUCCCCGGAUGAGAGUAUCGGACGAAAAAGGAUCGGCUAACUCCGUGCCAGCAGCCGCGGUAAUACGGAGGAUUCAAGCGUUAUCCGGAUUUAUUGGGUUUAAAGGGUGCGUAGGCGGAAUGCCAAGUCAGCGGUAAAAUCGCGGGGCUCAACCUCGCCCCGCCGUUGAAACUGGCGUUCUUGAGUUGGCGAGAAGUAUGCGGAAUGCGUGGUGUAGCGGUGAAAUGCAUAGAUAUCACGCAGAACUCCGAUUGCGAAGGCAGCAUACCGGCGCCCCACUGACGCUGAAGCACGAAAGCGUGGGUAUCGAACAGGAUUAGAUACCCCUGUAGUC
rnacentral:rRNA from 1 species